rnacentral:rRNA from 1 species
CAGUCGCCACGGUAAUACGUAGGGUGCAAGCGUUAUCCGGAAUUAUUGGGCGUAAAGAGCUCGUAGGCGGUUUGUCGCGUCUGCUGUGAAAACUGGAGGCUCAACCUCCAGCCUGCAGUGGGUACGGGCAGACUAGAGUGCGGUAGGGGAGAUUGGAAUUCCUGGUGUAGCGGUGGAAUGCGCAGAUAUCAGGAGGAACACCGAUGGCGAAGGCAGAUCUCUGGGCCGUAACUGACGCUGAGGAGCGAAUGUGUGGGGAGCGAACAGGAUUAGAUACCCCAGUAGUCCCUGUCUCUUAUAC